UGUUCUAUGAUUUAGUUGGUUAAGACGCCGGACUAGCGAGACGGAGUUGUGGGUUCGAAUCCCACCAAAACGA
rnacentral:tRNA from 1 species